AACGAACGCUGGCGGCAGGCUUAACACAUGCAAGUCGAACGCAUCCUUCGGGGUGAGUGGCAGACGGGUGAGUAACGCGUGGGAACGUGCCCUUCAGUUCGGGAUAACCCAGGGAAACUUGGGCUAAUACCGGAUACGUGCGAGAGCAGAAAGAUUUAUCGCUGAAGGAUCGGCCCCGUCUGAUUAGCUAGUUGGUGGGGUAAUGGCCCACCAAGGCGACGAUCAGUAGCUGGUCUGGGAGGAUGAUCAGCCACAUUGGGACUGAGACACGGCCCGAACUCCUACGGGAGGCAGCAGUGGGGAAUAUUGGACAAUGGGCGCAAGCCUGAUCCAGCCAUGCCGCGUGAGUGAUGAAGGCCUUAGGGUUGUAAAGCUCUUUCGUCCGGGACGAUAAUGACGGUACCGGAAGAAGAAGCCCCGGCUAACUUCGUGCCAGCAGCCGCCGUAA
rnacentral:rRNA from 1 species